rnacentral:rRNA from 1 species
UACGUAGGGUGCAAGCGUUGUCCGGAAUUAUUGGGCGUAAAGGGCUCGUAUGGCGGUCCAAUCGCGGUCGGGAGUGCAAAAGGCUGGGGCUCAACCCCAGUCCUGCUUUCGAUACGGGUGGACUAGAGGUAGGCAGGGGAGAACGGGAAUUCCUGGAUGUAGCGGUGAAAUGACGCAGAUAUCAGGAGGAACACCGGUGGCGAAGGCGGUCUCUGGGCCUUACCUGACGCUGAGGAGCGAAAGCGUGGGGAGCAAACAGG